rnacentral:rRNA from 1 species
UACAGAGGUGGCAAGCGUUGUUCGGAAUUACUGGGCGUAAAGGGCGCGUAGGCGGUCCUGUAAGUCCCGCGUGAAAUCCCCCGGCUCAACUGGGGAACGGCGCGGGAGACUGCGGGGCUUGAGUUCGGGAGAGGGAAGCGGAAUUCCGGGUGUAGCGGUGAAAUGCGUAGAUAUCCGGAGGAACACCGGUGGCGAAGGCGGCUUCCUGGACCGACACUGACGCUGAGGCGCGAAAGCUAGGGGAGCAAACGGG